GGAUUAGAUACCCUGGUAGUCCACACCGUAAACGCUGUCUACUAGCUGUUUGUGUAUUUAAUACGUGAGUAGCGAAGCUAACGCGCUAAGUAGACCGCCUGGGGAGUACGGCCGCAAGGUUAAAACUCAAAUGAAUUGACGGGGGCCCGCACAAGCGGUGGAGCAUGUGGUUUAAUUCGAUGCAACGCGAAGAACCUUACCUACUCUUGACAUCCAGGAAAUUUUUCAGAGAUGAAUUAGUGCCUUCGGGAAUCCUGAGACAGGUGCUGCAUGGCUGUCGUCAGCUCGUGCCG
rnacentral:rRNA from 1 species